GAUAUAUAUUUUGCAAGCACAUUAUAAACAAAGACAGACAUGUGGAGACACACUUACUGUCUCUCUGAUUAUAUGCAACUUAGCUGUGGAUUGAAUGAAGCAGCUUUAUUGUACAUUACAAGUGAACAGAAGAACACAGCCUCAUGGGCCAAACAGUACAUACCAUGGCUGGUUAACUGAAUGAAACACAGAGCAGGAGGGGUCCUAGG